rnacentral:rRNA from 1 species
CCUACGGGAGGCAGCAGUGAGGAAUAUUGGUCAAUGGCCGUAAGGCUGAACCAGCCAAGUCGCGUGAAGGAAGAAGGAUCUAUGGUUUGUAAACUUCUUUUAUAGGGGAAUAAAGGUAUCCACGUGUGGAUAUUUGCAUGUACCCUAUGAAUAAGCAUCGGCUAACUCCGUGCCAGCAGCCGCGGUAAUACGGAGGAUUCAAGCGUUAUCCGGAUUUCUUGGGUUUAAAGGGUGCGUAGGUGGUUUUAUAAGUCAGCGGUGAAAGUUCGUGGCUCAACCAUAGAAUUGCCGGUGAAAAUGGAAGACUUGAGAGUAGUUGGGGUAGGCGGAAUGCGUGGUGUAGCGGUGAAAUGCAUAGAUAUCACGCAGAACUCCGAUUGCGAAGGCAGCUUACUAAGCCAUAACUGACACUGAAGUACGAAAGCGUGGGGAUCAAACAGGAUUAGAUACCCUUGUAGUC